rnacentral:lncRNA from 1 species
GUGGUUGUUUUAUGCACGUAGUCAGACAUAGUAUUCUUAACGCUUUGCCUAAUAGCAACAGAAAGGGCAGCCACUCCUUUUUUUAAAGUACUGUUCCUAAUUUUUUUUAUUUUAAACAGAACAAUUGUAAACUUUAAUUGUGGUAUGAGUAUCAGUCAGACAACUCUCCAUUUAAGUCACUUGUGGAACAAGAUCUGCUUACCCUUCCGGAGCACCUGAGAUCACUCCUAGUUUAAAUUUAUGAUGGGGUUCGAGCUGUUUAUUCUUUAGUUUUCUAUGUUAUAUCAUGUGUAAUAUUGUUUGUCUGUUUGUCUUUUUCAUUUUUACCCAUGGCGUUGUCAGUUAUUUUCGAUUUAUGAGUUUGACUGUCCCUCUGGUAUUUUCCGUCCCUCUUUCACAAUCUAUAAAAGUAAAACCAUUAUAGGUCAAAGUACGGUCUCCAACACGGAGCUUUGGCUCCCACUGAACAGCAAUCUAUAAAGGUCCUCUUAAAUUACUAGUGUAUAAUUAUUUAAACGUGAAAACCAACGGUCUUAUCUAUAUAAAAACGAGAAAC